rnacentral:tRNA from 1 species
GUCUCGGAUAGCUUAACAGGUAGAGCCCUUGGCGCGUAACCGAGAGAUCUGGGUUCGAUUCCCAGUCUGGGCU